GUCCUUUUGAUUUUUAUUUAAGGUCUGACCUGCCCACUGAUUUAUUUAAUGGCCGCGGUAUUUUGACCGUGCAAAGGUAGCAUAAUAAUUUGUCUUUUAAUUGAAGGCUUGUAUGAAUGGUUGGACGAGAAAACUUCUUUCUUUAUAAUAUAACUAUUAAUUUUAUUUUUUAGUUAAAAAGCUAAAAUUUUGUUGUAGGACGAGAAGACCCUAUAGAACUUUAUAUUUAUAUUUAUAUUAGUAUUUUUAGUUAAUUAUAUAUUAUAUUUUUAUAAAUAUUUUGUUGGGGCGACAAGAAAAUUUAUUUAACUUUUUUUAUUAAUUUCAUUAAUUAAUGUAUAAAUGAUCCUUUAUUAUGGAUAAUUAGAAUAAGUUACCUUAGGGAUAACAGCGUAAUUUUUUUGGAGAGUUCUUAUCGAUAAAAAAGUUUGCGA
rnacentral:rRNA from 1 species